rnacentral:rRNA from 1 species
GACGAACGCUGGCGGCGUGCCUAACACAUGCAAGUAGAACGCUGAUGGAGGAGCUUGCUUCUCUGGAUGAGUCGCGAACGGGUGAGUAACGCGUAGGUAACCUGCCUGGUAGCGGGGGAUCAUUAUAGGAAACGAUAGCUAAUACCGACUAAGAGUAGAUGUUGAAUGAACUAAGCACAAACGGUGCAAUUGCAUCACUACUAGAUGGACCUGAGUUGUAUUAGCUUGUUGGUGGGGUAACGGCUCACCAAGGCGAGGAUACAUAGACGACCUGAGAGGGUGAGCGGCCACGCUGGGACGGAGACUCGACCCGGACUCCUGCAAGAGGCAGCAGUAGGGAAUCUUCAGCGAUGGACGGAAGUGUGACCUAGCAACGCCGCGUGAGUGAAGAAUGUUUUCGGGUCGUAAAGCUCUGUUGUAAGAGAAGAACGUGUGUGAGUGUGGAAAGUUCACACUGUGACGGUAUCUAACCAGAAAGGGACGGCUAACUACGUG